rnacentral:rRNA from 1 species
UGCUAGUUGCACGGGUUUAGACCCGUAGCAGAAAGCUCAGUAACACGUGGCCAAACUGCCCUAUGGACAAGAACAACCUCGGGAAACUGAGGCUAAUUCUUGAUACAGCUCUCCUGCUGGAGUGCAGAGAGCUGGAAACGCUCCGGCGCCAUAGGAUGUGGCUGCGGCCGAUUAGGUAGACGGUGGGGUAACGGCCCACCGUGCCGAUAAUCGGUACGGGUUGUGAGAGCAAGAGCCCGGAGACGGUAUCUGAGACAAGAUACCGGGCCCUACGGGGCGCAGCAGGCGCGAAACCUUUACACUGCACGACAGUGCGAUAGGGGGACUCCGAGUGCGAGGGCAUAUAGCCCUCGCUUUUCUGUACCCUAAGGUGGUACAGGAACAAGUGCUGGGCAAGACCGGUGCCAGCCGCCGCGGUAAUACCGGCAGCACGAGUGAUGGCCGAUAUUAUUGGGCCUAAAGCGUCCGUAGCUGGCCAGACAAGUCCGUUGGGAAAUCGACGUGCCUAACACGUCGGCGUCCGGCGGAAACUGUUUGGCUUGGAGCCGGAAGACCCGAGGGGUACGUCCGGGGUAGGAGUGAAAUCCCGUAAUCCUGGACGGACCACCGAUGGCGAAAGCACCUCGGGAAGACGGACUCGACAGUGAGGGACGAAAGCUGGGGUCUCGAACCGGAUUAGAUACCCGGGUAGUCCCAGCUGUAAACGAUGCUCGCUAGGUGUGGCGUAGG